AAGUCGUAACAAGGUUUCCGUAGGUGAACCUGCGGAAGGAUCAUUAACAAAUCGGUUGUGUGAGGUAGGAAGGGGGGAAAAGUAAUGAGGUUAUAUUAUCUUAUUAUUAUCUCUCUUUCUAUUUACCUCAAACACACAUUCACGCUUGUAUUGUUUGACAGAGUAAAUUUUAUAUUUAAAUCAGAGACAACUUUUAACAAUGGAUCUCUUGGCUCUU
rnacentral:misc_RNA from 1 species